rnacentral:rRNA from 1 species
AUUGAACGCUGGCGGCAGGCCUAACACAUGCAAGUCGGACGAGUGGCGGACGGGUGAGUAAUGUCUGGGAAACUGCCUGAUGGAGGGGGAUAACUACUGGAAACGGUAGCUAAUACCGCAUACCAGCGGAUGUGCCCAGAUGGGAUUAGCUAGUUGGUGGGGUAAAGGCUCACCUAGGAGACGAUCCCUAGCUGGUCUGAGCGGAUGACCAGCCACACUUGAACUGCGACACGGUCCAGACUCCUCCGGGAGGCAGCAGUGGGGAAUAUUGCUCACUGGGCGCAAGCCUGAUGCAGCCAUGCCGCUGGUAUGAAGAAGGCCUUCGGGUUGUAAAGUACUUUCAGCGGGGAGGCGUUACCCGCAGAAGAAGCACCGGCUAACUCCAUGCCAGCAGCCGCGGUAAUUC